UGUUAUGUCGCUCUGAGCACUGCUG
rnacentral:piRNA from 2 species